rnacentral:rRNA from 1 species
UACGUAGGGAGCAAGCGUUGUCCGGAAUCAUUGGGCGUAAAGCGCGCGUAGGUGGCCAUGUAAGUCCGCUGUGAAAGUCAAAGGCUCAACCUUUGAAAGCCGGUGGAUACUGCAUGGCUAGAGUACGGAAGAGGCGAGUGGAAUUCCUGGUGUAGCGGUGGAAUGCGCAGAUAUCAGGAGGAACACCAAUAGCGAAGGCAGCUCGCUGGGACGUUACUGACACUGAGGAGCGAAAGCCAGGGGAGCAAACGGG